rnacentral:hammerhead_ribozyme from 15 species
CAGGCGUAUAAGGUAGGCUCCCACUACAUUACCUUACUGAUGAGUCCAGUAUCCAAGCUGGGACGAAACGCCAA